rnacentral:rRNA from 1 species
GACAGAGGGUGCAAACGUUGUUCGGAAUUACUGGGCGUAAAGCGUGUGUAGGCGGUUUGUUAAGUCUGGCGUGAAAGCUCUCGGCUAAACCGGGAGAGGUCGUUGGAUACUGGCGAACUCGAGGAUGGUAGAGGCGUGUGGAAUUCCGGGUGUAGUGGUGAAAUGCGUAGAGAUCCGGAGGAACACCGGUGGCGAAGGCGCUCAUCUGGCCCGUUUCUGACGCUGAGGCGCGAAAGCUAGGGUAGCGAACGGG